CACAUUUGAAAGUAGCUACUAGUUUAUUUUACUACAUUAACACAGUAAACAGAUGCCGAUUUUGUGUUAACAUGCAUGAAGCGCACAUUCAUGUGGCAUCACGUGACGUAGUUUUGCAUGUUAUGUAUCAUGUACUUCCGGUGAGGUUUUGUAACAAUGAUUGUGCGCUGAUGUAAUUAUUCACAGUUGCACAAUAAAGACUGGGUUUGUUCGUUCAUUGCAGCGGAUCUCAUUAUUUACAAUGACUGAGGUCAGGCGGGCCGUCUCUGAAGCGCUGUGGGGAAUGUGUGCAGCGGAUGCCAUGUCGAUGCCCGUCCACUGGUACUACAACACCCAAGACAUCAGGAGGGACUUCAUUGGCUGGAUCACUGGAUUCAAUGCGCCGCGGGGCAGACACCCAUCCAGCAUCCUAAGCCUGUCCAGCACAGCUGGCAGUGGACGCAGAGCCGGAUCAACCGGAACCGCAGCUCAUGUCGUGGGGAACGUGAUUCUGCAUGAUAAGCUGAAGUUCUGGACGGAUCCACGUGGAUCAGUGCACUACCAUCAGGGUCUUCACGCGGGUGGAAACACGCUGAACACUCUCUGUGCUCUGAGAGUUGCGCGCAUUCUGUCCACCGGUGCUUUCGUUAGUAUGGCUGAUCCUGAAGCACGAGCCGCCGUACUGUCGGAUUACACUGAGUUCAUGACACGUCCCGGCUCACACAACGACACGUACGCCGAGUCCUUCCAUAGAAGCUUCUUCUCUGACUGGCAGGAACUCAGACCUACGUCCUCUAGAGAGGUUCUGGAGUUUGCAGAGCAGCGCUCCAAAUGCAUGUUGAGCACAUCCCGUGCUGACAGUCAGCUAAAUGCUAUAGGAUGUCUUCCCAUGGCCAUUCCCUUUGUCCUGCUGUCUGCCACAGCCAAUGAGGAGGAAGCAGUUUCUGCAGCGGUGGAUUUUGUGAAGCUCACUCAUCCUCAUCCAGCGCUGGAGCCGCUGGUGUCUCUGUACAUGCGAGCGCUUCACGCCACACUGAACGGAGCAUGUCUGAAACGACAGGCGGAGACGGCGCUCAAAUCACCCGUGCUGGACGCCUGGGACGUGUGUCAACACUUUAUACAGUGCGCAGAGAGGAUUCCAGGAUCAUCAGUGGAGCGUCUGAAGGUUCAUCAGAGCGCUGUGGAGUCUCUCGGAAUCGCCUGCUACACACAAGGAGCUCUCAGCAGUCUCUUCUACCUGGCCUACAGCUUUCAUAAUGACGUGACGGGGGGAAUCCUGACCAACACCAACUGUGGAGGUGAGAACUGUAACCGUGGGGCAGCGUUGGGGGCUCUUCUUGGGGCCCGGGCGGUGUAUCUCGGCUCAGUCGUACCACAGGAGUGGAAGGACGGACUGGUUGAAGCUCAGGGGCGAAUCAGUGACAUCCUGCAGGAGCUGAACAGAUCCACAUCAGUCUGAUGUUCUUCUGCUUGUGAACUUCCUCCUGCACUGCUGUGUUGUUUAGCUCUUCCCUUGACUCUUCGUAUGUCUUUCUGUCUGCUGUGUUUAUUCACACACACACACACACUCAAGCAUGUGCUGCUGCCACAGGAAACGGUGCCCACAGAUGUGGUUUCCAGCCUGCACUGUGGAAGACUUUCCUCUCGUCUGUAUACCUUCAGUCACACUGUGACCUACUUGCAUAAUUCUCGUAUUAGAACUUCAUCUGUUAUAGAUUGAGUAAAUGUUAAUCAGACAGUUCAUGCUUUAAAGAUUCUCAUUAGAAUGUGUUUGAGACAUAAACUUACAAGUUGAUGUAUUGCAGAAUAUGUGACUGCAGAAGCAGCAUACUAAACGCUCUUGAGGACACUCAUUUCAGAGUUUGAAACAAAAAUAUAUAAUAUAUAAAUAUAAUAUUUUUCUUAUCUUGUUUUUAACUAUU
rnacentral:lncRNA from 1 species